CAGUCUUAUUGGAUGAGAUCCGCGGUGCUGUGACAAGGUAGGCUACAAAAACUGGCAGAAUUUCUUGAAUGCUAGCCUAACAUGAAGUGUAUUAAAGAUUGCAACACUAUAAGAUAGGUUUUGUAUACUCCUUUAAAAAUUUAUAUUUUAUUUUGCCCUUGUAGUUUGUGUGUUUGUUUUUAGGUUCUACUGCUAUAUAUAUUAUCUAUUAUCGAGAUAGGCUCUACAGUUUAUUCAUAAUAGACACGGGAUGCAAAAUUAUGCACAUUCUGCAUCCGCUUACUUCAAAUUCAGGAUACAAGGGUCAUGAUCAGAGCAUGCCAUAUAUAGCUACACUACACAAUAUUGCCAAAAAAAAAAAAUCAAUCUCACCAUGAAAUUUUCCAAUCCUGCAAGGAAUGAUAAUAUUUAUUGAUGGAAAAAACGUGAAUUCCCAACAUGUGUUUCAAAACUGUUGGUAGGUAAUCACUUAAAAUAUAUUUCAUCUUUCUUACCAAAUAGUCAUUUUAUUUAUGUACAACUAAUAAACACAUGCUCGCUCUUCUCUAGGAAAUUAGCAGCUUCUUUGUAUACCUUUUUAUGCAGUCGUGGUAUGACGUAAGAUUGCCACUAAUCAAUCC
rnacentral:lncRNA from 1 species